rnacentral:rRNA from 1 species
GAUCAUGGCUCAGGACGAACGCUGGCGGCGUGCCUAACACAUGCAAGUCGAGCGAGGAAUGUCGGAUAGCUUGCUAUUUGAUGUUUCUAGCGGCGGACGGGUGAGUAACGCGUGAGCAACCUGCCUUUAUCAGGGGGAUAACGCAUCGAAAGAUGUGCUAAUACCGCGUAAGACCACAGCCUCACAUGGGGCAGGGGUCAAAGGAGCAAUCCGGAUAAAGAUGGGCUCGCG